rnacentral:lncRNA from 1 species
AUAGAAUGGUUUGUGUUGAAAGGGACCUUAAAGAUCACCUAAUUCUACCCCCCUCACCUCCCCUCCGCCACGGGCAGGGACACCUCCCACUAAAAAUCUUGGAUACUGUUUAGCAGAAACCCCUCCUAGAGCUUUAUCAAGAAUUCAGGUUGUUCCCUAUACUGAGAAUAAACUGUCACUUCAUAUCUUUCACAAACAAACAGAAAAUGAAGGGGAUGUGAAAACUGCUGAUCAGAUUAAGGACCACUGCAAAUAAGACCAGCACAGGAAGGUUUUGCAUGCUGUUUUUUCCUUUCAUUUUAUCAGGAUAAAUGGUACCCAGAACUGGACUGCACUAUAACUACAAGGCCUUCUGAGACUGAGGAGGAGGUAGAAGGAAUAUUGUAGAAUGCAACAGGAAGCAGAUGGAGGCUUGUGCCACCUGUGGGAAGGACACCGAGGAUGCAUUUCUGGCAGCAAAGCAGCCCUUCUGUGGUACCACACAAGGAAAAACUUCUCCACCCAGAACCUGCUGUGCCCAUCAGAGGAGAACCUUCCCUAGUCCAUGGGCAGCAGUCCUUACACUUUAUUCCCAGACCAACUGCUGUGAGAAGCUGAAAUUCAGCUUUUUCUUGUGAACCCA